rnacentral:rRNA from 1 species
AGCAAUGUAUGGGGAUCUGCCUGAUGGCGGGGGAUAACUACUGGAAACGGUAGCUAAUACCGCAUAAUGUCUGCGGACCAAAGCGGGGGACCUCCGGGCCUCGCGCCAUCAGAUGAACCCAUAUGGGAUUAGCUAGUAGGUAAGGUAACGGCUCACCAAGGCCACGAUGCAUAGCCGACCUGAGAGGGUGAUCGGCCACACUGGGACUGAGACACGGCCCAG